GAUGAAGAACGCAGCGAAAUGCGAUACGUAAUGUGAAUUGCAGAAUUCAGUGAAUCAUCGAGUCUUUGAACGCACAUUGCGCCCCCUGGUAUUCCGGGGGGCAUGCCUGUCCGAGCGUCAUUGCUGCCCUCAAGCACGGCUUGUGUGUUGGGCCUCCGUCCUCCUCCCGGGGGACGGGCCCGAAAGGCAGCGGCGGCACCGCGUCCGGUCCUCGAGCGUAUGGGGCUUCGUCACCCGCUCUUGUAGGCCCGGCCGGCGCUUGCCGACACAUCAAUCUUUUUUCCAGGUUGACCUCGGAUCAGGUAGGGAUACCCGCUGAACUUAAGCAUAUCUAAGCGGAGGA
rnacentral:misc_RNA from 1 species